rnacentral:rRNA from 1 species
CACGUAGGGGACGAGCGUUGUCCGGAUUCAUUGGGCGUAAAGCGCGCGUAGGCGGCUCGGAAAGUCGGUCGUGAAAUGCCGGGGCUCAACCCCGGGACUGCGUCCGAUACUUCCGGGCUGGAGGUAGGUAGGGGAGAUCGGAAUUCCUGGUGUAGCGGUGAAAUGCGCAGAUAUCAGGAGGAACACCGAUGGCGAAGGCAGGUCUCUGGGCCGAUACUGACGCUGAGGAGCGAAAGCGUGGGGAGCGAACAGG